UACGUAGGGUGCGAGCGUUAAUCGGAAUUACUGGGCGUAAAGCGUGCGCAGGCGGUUGUGUAAGACAGAUGUGAAAUCCCCGGGCUCAACCUGGGAACUGCAUUUGUGACUGCACGGCUCGAGUGCGGCAGAGGGGGAUGGAAUUCCGCGUGUAGCAGUGAAAUGCGUAGAUAUGCGGAGGAACACCGAUGGCGAAGGCAAUCCCCUGGGCCUGCACUGACGCUCAUGCACGAAAGCGUGGGGAGCAAACAGG
rnacentral:rRNA from 1 species